AACAGUUCUACUUUCACCAUCGGUGAUGGUCUGAAUUACCAUGGUUACAAUAACACACCAUUAGAACCCGGAUGUAACUAUAGAGUUUACGUGAGAGUCGUCACCAUGACAUCGAAUGAGAAAAGAGUUAUCAGCGACGCGCCGUUCGUAUCUUUUACAACGAAAUCUGGUGCUCACGGCUAUACACAAGGACAUUCUGAUAAGAAUUCCAAUGAUCCAUUGGUGAUUGGUUUAGCCGUCCUUUUGGUGAUGUCCAUCGUCGCUCUGAUUG